AUUCCAGCUCCAAUAGCGUAUAUUAAAGUUGUUGCAGUUAAAAAGCUCGUAGUCGGAUUUUGGCAUCACGCCGAACUGUCUGCCGAUUGGUAAGUACGGUUUGGCGGGUGCUUCCUUCCGGAGGCUCGUUCCCUUCUUCAUUGAAGGGUUCGUUGGUUCCGGGUCUUUUACUUUGAGAAAAUUAGAGUGUUCAAAGCAGGCCUAUGCUCUGAAUAGGUUAGCAUGGAAUAAUAGAAUAGGACUUUGGUUCUAUUUUGUUGGUUUCUAGUACUGAAGUAAUGAUUGAUAGGGAUAGUUGGGGGUGCUAGUAUUGAGCGGCCAGAGGUGAAGUUCUUGGAUUCGCUCAAGACUAACUUAUGCGAAAGCAUUCACCAAGGAUGUCUUCAUUA
rnacentral:rRNA from 1 species